rnacentral:rRNA from 1 species
GAUGAACGCUGGCGGCGUGCCUAAUACAUGCAAGUCGAGCGAACGGACGAGAAGCUUGCUUCUCUGAUGUUAGCGGCGGACGGGUGAGUAACACGUGGAUAACCUACCUAUAAGACUGGGAUAACUUCGGGAAACCGGAGCUAAUACCGGAUGAUAUUUUGAACCGCAUGGUUCAAAAGUGAAAGACGGUCUUGCUGUCACUUAUAGAUGGAUCCGCGCUGCAUUAGCUAGUUGGUAAGGUAACGGCUUACCAAGGCAACGAUGCAUAGCCGACCUGAGAGGGGGAGAGGCCAAACGGGAACAGAGAUGCGGACUCGACGACUGAGGGAGGCAGAAGGAGGGGAUGUUAAGCAAAGGGCGAAAGAUUAUAGGAGAAUAGCAGCGGGAGAGAUGAAGGUAUGCGGAUCGUAAAACUAUGUUAUUAGGAAAGAAUAAAUGUGUAAGUAACAGUGAAGAUCGUGACGGUACGGACAAAAAAAGCAACGGACAACUGCGU